AUUGCAUUUCAAUUCGGUAGUAAAAAAUUAAUUUCAUUUUUAUAGGACGUGCAAGUCUUUUUUGUAUGUCGCAUGAAGAAAAUAUUGUACCUGUAACUAGAGUUGCAAAUGAAUCGAACUGUUCAUGAACAAAUUCGGCUCGAUUCGUUUAUAAACGAGCUGAGCUUGAACUUACAUAAGUUCAGCCCGUUUAUCUUUAUUUAAAUAAUAUAAAUAAUAUUAAAAAAAAUUAUCAAGCCAAGACAAGUUCCAGUUUCAUUAAUAUUAGCGAGUUCGAGUCCAAUUCCUUAUCGAGCUGAGGUUGAACUCAAUAAACGAGCGGAGUUCGAACUCAGUAAAACUUGACUCGGCUCAAUUCGUUUGCAGCCUUACUAAUGUUAUUAUUUUUAAACUGUCUCAUUGAAAUGUUUGUUUCCAUUUGGGAAGUGGUUGCAUCGUGUACACGUUACAUGAUUUCAUGAUUCUAUGGCCCCUACUAUGAUUGGAU